GCCGUUGCCAAGGAGAAGUCUCUAGGAAGUCUCAGGUGAAGUCAGAGAAAACGUGGCGUUUCCGUUCUAUGCUGUUCCGUGCAAAGACUCCAAAUGGCCUCAGAUUGCUACAUAGGCUGAUCUUCAACAAGCAUUACAGAUGGCCGUGUCCCACACCACAGCCUGUG